GAACUUAAGCAUAUCAAUAAGCGGAGGAAAAGAAACUAACAAGGAUUCCCCUAGUAACUGCGAGUGAAGCGGGAAGAGCUCAAAUUUAAAAUCUGGCAGCUGAUGGGCUUGUCCGAGUUGUAAUCUAGAGAAGUGUCUUCCGCGCUGGGACCGUGUACAAGUCUCUUGGAAUGGAGCAUCAUAGAGGGUGAGAAUCCCGUCUCUGACACGGAAUUUACCGGUGCUUUUGUGAUGCGCUCUCGAAGAGUCGAGUUGUUUGGGAAUGCAGCUCAAAAUGGGUGGUAAAUUCCAUCUAAAGCUAAAUACAGGCGAGAGACCGAUAGCGAACAAGUACCGUGAGGGAAAGAUGAAAAGGACUUUGAAAAGAGAGUUAAACAUUACGUGAAAUUGUUGAAAGGGAAACGAUUCAAGUCAGUCGCAUUAGCCAGUAAUCAACCCUCGCAAUUAACCUUGCUGGGCUUACUUUCUGGUUGAUGGGUCAGCAUCAAUUUUGACCGUCAGAGAAAGGCUUUGCGGGGAAUGUGACAUCUUCGGAUGUGUUAUAGCCCCUACUCGCAUGUGAUGGUCGGGAUUGAGGAACUCAGCACGCCUUUACAGGUCAGGGCCGCCGGAGUGGCCCAUGUAAACGUAGCUUAGGAUGCUGGCAUAAUGGCUUGAACCGACCCGUCUUGAAACACGGACCAAGGAGUCUAACAUGCCUGCGAGUGUUUGGGUGGAAAACCCGAGCGCGAAGUGAAAGUGAACUUGGUUGAGAUCCCUGUCGUGGGGAGCACCGACGCCCGGACCAGACCUUCUGUGACGGAUCUGCGGUAGAGCAUGCAUGUUGGGACCCGAAA
rnacentral:rRNA from 1 species